CAUCCCCACCCCUGAUCCAGCCGGUUCGCUGGCCUCAGUGGGUGUCAUAGUGACCAGUUGUUCUGGUCGUUACAGUGUUACGGUCUCUGGCUUUUUAUAUAUAUAGUUAGAGAAAAGACAAAUUAAAGGCACUUGUCACCUGUACAUGUAGGUUAAAUACUCAUAUGAAGUCUGCUAAAAAAAAAAAUUCAACCAAGUAAACUUAAAGAUCUAAUUGGCUUUACUAAACGCUUCAUGAACCAGGCAGCUUCCCAUUUGACAACCAGGUCACUCCCAAGAGUGGGACAAGAAGCAGUUUCUUAUAGGCAAAAAGGGAGUGGGACAAAGAUGUUAAAAGAGUGAAUUUUUCAGACAAUGUGACCUUCACUUAGGGGAAGUCAGGGGUCUUAUCACACAGAUUAGCUUCCUAGUGCUGACCAGGAAAUUCCUAACUGGUGAGAGAAGAGUGAAGAUGCGGAGUACGUAAAAUAGAGUCACUUUAACCAAGCUGCUGGAAUUAUUAACAUUAUGAGGUUGGAGACACAAGGAAUGACCCUAGUUGUAUGUAGCCUGGGAAGCUAAGCUUUUGGAGAUUUCCGGUCCUGUAUCAGUAGCCAAAUGUACACCUGGAUGUGGGCCAGAUCUCCAGAUAACCUCAGCUCAGCCUGCAGGACUAGCAUCCAGACCAUGUGAGGCCACUCGAUAGCCAUCGCCCCGACUACAGGAUGUGACCAGAUGCCCUGGCAUCCAUCAUCAGCCCCCUGACAUCUGACUGAUGAGCCUCCUGGACCAGGGCAAGGGCUGAAAAAGCAGGAUUAUUCUCAAGAACGGACUUUGAACUCAGAAAUAUAUAAUUUAUCAAGUGUCAACAUCGACAGCUUCCUUUGAAGAACGUCCCGGAACUUUCUGGCUGUUUUGCACCAUGACUAAAAUGGGACAUCACGGGAUUGGGCAACGGGAGGGGAGGAGCUAUUCUGAUGAAGACGGUCCAAACCAAGGGUGAGCUGUGUGGACCUAAGGCUCCUGCAUGACGACAAAAAUAAGAUUUCAUACAAAGAUUCUUGUGACCAAGAAGCAUGCGCAUUCGCAGUUGUCUAUUAUGAUAAAAUAUAAGUUCAUCGUGAACAUUUUAAAAAUUCAACUAUUUUAGCCAGUUCUGGGUUCCUAGAAGAUCUUAUUUUUAAAAUGUUUGAUUAAAACCAAAGGCUCAAUCAUCAUCAACAGCAGCAGAUUACUGAAAGCUCACUGUACAGCUGGGCACUUGGCUUCAUACCCAACGUGAGCGAUUCCAUUUCCUUCUGUGGCUCCCUGAGGAGACCCAUCCCCGGGCAGCACAGCAGUGAUGAGAAGCACUGAGCACUCACAUUCUGUCCUUCACUUGCUUAGAACCUAGGGGCACAGUAAGUUAGGGCUGAUAAUGGCCCUGACCUCACAGAAUAAGUGAGUGGAAAAGUAAAACACUGGGAAAAUGCCCACUGCUGUUAAUGAAAACCUAGGCGGAGGCCAGGUCAGUAACUUGCUCAAGGCCACAUUGAUAAGAGGAGGAAAUCUGAGAAUUUUAACCCCCCAGGCAGUCCAACUUCAGAGAACUCUCAACUACUCCACUGUCCUACAAGAAAACCUUAACAGGUGACAUUAAAUUACUUGAAGUCAUGUUCUCUUCCUGGGCACACAGCCAGAUCAAAUUUGCAAGCAUUUUUUUGCAGGUAGAUGAGGACAUAAGAAAAAAUGGGUAGGAGGAUUUUGAAAAAAACAUUUGAGCUGGGUAUUGAAGCUUCAGAAGGAGCGAGUUGGCAAUUCUGAACUGCAAGGCACACUCUGUGCUUCUCUGUGAACUUGGAUCUUCUGGGUGAUGUUGAAUAAAAACCGAUUUGUUCCUUUA